UACUCCUACGGGAGGCAGCAGUGGGGAAUAUUGGACAAUGGGGGGAACCCUGAUCCAGCCAUGCCGCGUGUGUGAAGAAGGCCUUUUGGUUGUAAAGCACUUUAAGUAGGGAGGAAUAGUUAUUGGUUAAUACCCAAUGAUGAUGACGUUACCUACAGAAUAAGCACCGGCUAACUCUGUGCCAGCAGCCGCGGUAAUACAGAGGGUGCGAGCGUUAAUCGGAAUUACUGGGCGUAAAGCGAGUGUAGGUGGCUUAUUAAGUCACAUGUGAAAUCCCUGGGCUUAACCUAGGAACUGCAUGUGAUACUGGUGAGCUAGAGUAUGUGAGAGGAAAGUAGAAUUCCAGGUGUAGCGGUGAAAUGCGUAGAGAUCUGGAGGAAUACCGAUGGCGAAGGCGGCCCCCUGGACAAAGACUGACGCUCAGGUGCGAAAGCGUGGGGAGCAAACAGGAUUAGAUACCCUGGUAGUCACGGGGGUACUCCUACGGGAGGCAGCAGGAUUAGAUACCCUGGUAGUCA
rnacentral:rRNA from 1 species